CCUACGGGUGGCAGCAGUGAGGAAUAUUGGUCAAUGGGCGCGAGCCUGAACCAGCCAAGUCGCGUGAGGGAAGACGGUCCUAUGGAUUGUAAACCUCUUUUGUCGGGGAGCAAAAGACGCCACGCGUGGCGUUCCGAGCGUACCCGAAGAAAAAGCAUCGGCUAACUCCGUGCCAGCAGCCGCGGUAAUCCGGAGGAUGCGAGCGUUAUCCGGAUUUAUUGGGUUUAAAGGGUGCGCAGGCGGAAGAUCAAGUCAGCGGUAAAAUUGAGAGGCUCAACCUCUUCGAGCCGUUGAAACUGGUGUUCUUGAGUGAGUGAGAAGUAGGCGGAAUGCGUGGUGUAGCGGUGAAAUGCAUAGAUAUCACGCAGAACUCCGAUUGCGAAGGCAGCAUACCGGCGCUCAACUGACGCUCAUGCACGAAAGUGUGGGUAUCGAACAGGAUUAGAUACCCGUGUAGUC
rnacentral:rRNA from 1 species